rnacentral:rRNA from 1 species
GAUGAACGCUGGCGGCGUGCUUAACACAUGCAAGUCGAACGGUGAAGGCGGAGCUUGCUCUGCUGGAUCAGUGGCGAACGGGUGAGUAACACGUGAGCAAUCUGCCCCUGACUCUGGGAUAAGCGCUGGAAACGGCGUCUAAUACUGGAUACGAGCUGCGCAGGCAUCUUCAGCAGCUGGAAAGAACUUCGGUCAGGGAUGAGCUCGCGGCCUAUCAGCUUGUUGGUGAGGUAACGGCUCACCAAGGCGUCGACGGGUAGCCGGCCUGAGAGGGUGACCGGCCACACUGGGACUGAGACACGGCCCAGACUCCUACGGGAGGCAGCAGUGGGGAAUAUUGCACAAUGGGCGAAAGCCUGAUGCAGCAACGCCGCGUGAGGGAAGACGGCCUUCGGGUUGUAAACCUCUUUUAGCAGGGAAGAAGCGAAAGUGACGGUACCUGCAGAAAAAGCGCCGGCUAACUACGUG